rnacentral:rRNA from 1 species
UACGUAGGGGGCAAGCGUUGUCCGGAAUCAUUGGGCGUAAAGAGCGUGUAGGCGGCCUGAUAAGUCGGCUGUGAAAGUCAAGGGCUCAACCCUUGAAUGCCGGCCGAUACUGUCAGGCUAGAGUCCGGAAGAGGCGAGUGGAAUUCCUGGUGUAGCGGUGAAAUGCGCAGAUAUCAGGAGGAACACCAAUUGCGAAGGCAGCUCGCUGGGACGUGACUGACGCUGAGACGCGAAAGCGUGGGGAGCAAACAGG